AUUAAAUACAAAGCCCAAUUACCAUGGAAAGAGGAAGAAGGAAAGGGUAGCUAGGAGUAAUUCUACCCUCAACAGGAGGAGAAGGAUGAGGAUGGUGGACUUCCAGUGCAGCACAGAACAAUGGAGAAGUGUUGACAAGUGAUUCAGCCUGCUAGUAGAGAUAUGGGUUGGCCCUCCGAAUAAUAGCACAUCAGCAACAUUGUUCGUAUCAUGAGCAGAACAGAAACACAUUCAACACUGAAAGAUUUGUAUAGUGACAUACAAGCAGCACACAUUUAGUUCAUCAUCUGGUCCCCGGAUCUAAAGCUAAGGACAUCUGCACUUUGCUUUCUCAUUUAAAUCCUUUUCCACAGAAGCAAUACAUAACACACCCAGUGAACAAAGCAAUGCCAGCUGAUUAACAUCUGUUGGUUUGAUUAAAAUCAUAUAGAUGGCAGAAUUUCAGGUUCCAGUAACUCUGGCUUGCACUUGCAACAAAGAAAGACAUUGUGUAACCUGCUGCUGUUGCUGU